rnacentral:rRNA from 1 species
AAUAGAUACCCCGGUAGUCCACGCCGUAAACGAUGAGUGCUAAGUGUUAGAGGGUUUCCGCCCUUUAGUGCUGCAGCAAACGCAUUAAGCACUCCGCCUGGGGAGUACGGCCGCAAGGCUGAAACUCAAAGGAAUUGACGGGGGCCCGCACAAGCGGUGGAGCAUGUGGUUUAAUUUGAAGCAACGCGAAGAACCUUACCAGGUCUUGACAUCUCCUGACAACCCUAGAGAUAGGGCGUUCCCCUUCGGGGGACAGGAUGACAGGUGGUGCAUGGUUGUCGUCAGCUCGUGUCGUGAGAUGUUGGGUUAAGUCCCGCAACGAGCGCAACCCUUGAUCUUAGUUGCCAGCAUUCAGUUGGGCACUCUAAGGUGACUGCCGGUGACAAACCGGAGGAAGGUGGGGAUGACGUCAAAUCAUCAUGCCCCUUAUGACCUGGGCUACACACGUGCUACAAUGGAUGGUACAAAGGGCUGCGAGACCGCGAGGUUAAGCGAAUCCCAUAAAACCAUUCUCAGUUCGGAUUGCAGGCUG